rnacentral:RNase_P_RNA from 2 species
CAGGUUGGGCAGACAGCCGCCGCGCAGCGCGUAAGGCCUGCGGGGAGGAAAGUCCGGGCUACAGAGGGCGGGAUGCCGGCUAACGGCCGGGCGUGGCAACACGAUGGAAAGUGGAACAGAGAGCGAAACCGCCGAUGGCUGUUUUCAGCACAGGCAAGGGUGAAAAGGUGCGGUAAGAGCGCACCGUGCACUUGGUAACAAGGUGCAGCAGGCUAAACCCCAUCCGUAGCAAGACCAAACAGAACGCGCAGACGCGGCCCGCCGAGCGUUCGGGUAGGUUGCUGGAGCGCCCCGGCAACGGUGCGCCUAGAGGAAUGGCUGUCCAACGACAGAACCCGGCUUACCGCCCGACCUGUAUG